GGCAGACGGCUCAGUAACACGUAGUCAAUCUACCCUAUGGACGGGGAUAACCUCGGGAAACUGAGGAUAAAACCCGAUAGAUCAUAAUGCCUGGAAUGGUUUAUGGUUCAAAUGAUUCGUCGCCGUAGGAUGGGACUGCGGCCUAUCAGCUUGUUGGUGAGGUAAUGGCCCACCAAGGCUAUUACAGGUACGGGCUCUGAGAGGAGAAGCCCGGAGAUGGGUACUGAGACACGGACCCAGGCCCUAUGGGGCGCAGCAGGCGAGAAACCUUUGCAAUGUGCGCAAGCACGACAAGGUUAAUCCGAGUGUUUCCUGCUAAAGGAAUCUUUUGUUAGUUCUAAAACCACUAAUGAAUAAGGGGUGGGCAAGUUCUGGUGUCAGCCGCCGCGGUAAAACCAGCACCUCAAGUGGUCAGGAGGAUUAUUGGGCCUAAAGCAUCCGUAGCCUGUUCUAUGAGUUUCCGGUUAAAUCCAUUAGCUCAACUAAUGGGCUGCCGAAAAUACUGUGGAACUAGGGAGUGGGAGAGGUAGACGGUACUCGGUAGGAAGGGGUAAAAUCCUUUGAUCUAUUGAUGACCACCUGUGGCGAAGGCGGUCUACCAGAACACGUUCGACGGUGAGGGAUGAAAGCUGGGGGAGCAAACCGGAUUAGAUACCCGGGUAGUCCCAGCUGUAAACGAUGCAGACUCGGUGAUGCCCUGGCUUGUGGCCAGUGCAGUGCCGCAGGAAGCCGUUAAGUUUGCCGCCUGGGAAGUACGUACGCAAGUAUGAAACUUAAAGGAAUUGGCGGGGGAGCACCACAAGGGGUGAAGCCUGCGGUCAAUU
rnacentral:rRNA from 1 species